rnacentral:rRNA from 1 species
UACAGAGGGGGCAAGCGUUGUUCGGAAUUACUGGGCGUAAAGGGCGCGUAGGUGGCCUUCUAAGUUGAACGUGAAAUCCCUGGGCUCAACCCAGGAACUGCGUCCAAGACUGGGAGGCUUGAAUCCAGGAGAGGGAUGCGGAAUUCCAGGUGUAGCGGUGAAAUGCGUAGAUAUCUGGAGGAACACCGGUGGCGAAGGCGGCAUCCUGGACCGGUAUUGACACUGAGGCGCGAAAGCCAGGGGAGCAAACGGG